UUCUGCAUCAUCAACAUUGGCAAAGAAACUGACUGCAGCUGUGGAUGAGCAGUGAGAUGAUAGCAUGUGGGGACUGGGGAGCGGCAGGGAUCUCUUCCUGGGAUCAUUUCUCUGCAUGGUAGCAAUGGAGUUAUACAUUACUAUGAUACAACAGGAAAAAACUUGUCACUGACGGGCCAAGGGCAAGCCUAGGCAAAAUAAAGAAAGCUCAGAGAGGCGGAAGAUAUAUUUGCAUGUGGCACAUUUUUCUACAACGAAUUUUGGAUGGUGAAGUUGGAGACGUAUGGCUUGUUGGCCAGCUCCACUGAAGAUGUUAAACAGAGGAGAGGCACGGGCAUGCAUGGGCUUUGGAACCACUGUUCUGUUAGCCUUGAGGAAAAUGAAUUAGAGAUGAGAAAAAUUGGAAAGACUGAAGUGCAUGAAAGGUUACAGCAGUUUUCAGAGGGACAUAUAUCAACGCAGCAGAUCCGUGCCUGUCUCAGCCAUCAUCAGAGAAGCUUCCUAUUGGAUGGAAAUAAAUACAGACACACACAGCUAAUGUGCAGAGAGUAUGAGAUGUUGGGAUACUCUGUCCUAAAAGGGAUGUCUCUAUCCAUCUCCUCUCAGGACUCGGAACUUUGCAGAAGAGGAGGCAGAAACAGUGUAGGAACCAGAGUGAGUGGAGGCCACCAAGGGAUCAAGGCUUUCUAA
rnacentral:lncRNA from 1 species